AAUAACAGGUCUGUGAUGCCCUUAGAUGUUCGGGGCCGCACGCGCGCUACACUGACCGGAUCAGCGUGUGCUCUCCUUGGCCGACAGGUCCGGGAAACCCGUUGAACCCCGGUCGUGCUAGGGAUAGGGAAUUGCAAUUAUUUCCCUUGAACGAGGAAUUCCCAGUAAGCGCGAGUCAUUAGCUCGCGUUGAUUACGUCCCUGCCCUUUGUACACACCGCCCGUCGCUACUACCGAUUGAAUGGUUUAGUGAGGUCCUCCGAUUGGACCCGGUCCGGGCGGCGACGUCCGAGCCGGCGUCCGAGAAGACGAUCUAACUUGAUCAUUUAGAGGAAGUAAAAGUCGUAACAAGGUUUCCGUAGCUGAACCUGCGGAAGGAUCAUUA
rnacentral:ncRNA from 1 species